rnacentral:rRNA from 1 species
GAUGAACGCUGGCGGUAUGCUUAACACAUGCAAGUCGAACGGAAAGUUCGGUUCUGGGGUCCAAGGGGGGCGAAAGGCGUGGUAACCUGGCGGUGAGCUGCGCUCCACCUUUGGAUAAGCUGGCGAAACUCGGUCUAAUCGCGGGGUAAAAUAGGAGUUGCGUGAGGAGUGGCGCGCGGCUUUUUCGGUUGGUGGUGGGGCGACGGCCCACCAAGUCGACGAUAGGUAGCUGGCCUGAGAGGGUGACCAGCGACACUGGGACUGAGAGACGGCCCAGACUCCUACGGGGGGCAGCAGUGGGGAAUAUUGCACAAUGGGCGCAAGCCUGAUGCAGCGACGCCGCGUGGGGGAUAACGGCCUUCGGGUGGUAAACACCUUUCAGCACAGACGAAGAGUAAGUGACGGUAUGUGAAGAAGAAGCACCGGCCAACUACGUG